rnacentral:rRNA from 1 species
UACGUAGGGGGGCUAGCGUUGUCCGGAAUCAUUGGGCGUAAAGCGCGUGUAGGCGGCCCGGUAAGUCCGCUGUGAAAGUCGGGGGCUCAACCCUCGGAUGCCGGUGGAUACUGUCGGGCUAGAGUGCGGAAGAGGCGAGUGGAAUUCCUGGUGUAGCGGUGAAAUGCGCAGAGUAUCAGGAGGAACACCUAUUGCGAAGGCAGCUCGCUGGGACGUAACUGACGCUGAGACGCGAAAGCGUGGGGAGCAAACAGG